UCUUGACCUUUUGCUCUUUGCGCUGUUUCCCACCUUUGUUUUUCACUCUCCAUCUUUUCUGUCGCUUUCUACAUUUUCAUCUGAAACUUGGUUCUUCUUUUCGACUUGCUUUGGUUCUUGUUAAGGAAUCCGAAAAGCUUUCAUGGAAUCUUGAAUAACUUUGUUCUUCGUUUUCUUGUUUGUUUGUUUUGUUCUUUUUUAACAAAGGAAAAAACAGAAGAAGAAGAAGAAGAAGAAACAGAAUUUAGAUUUGUUGCGGGUGGAAGCGAGAAUGUCGAAGGCUGGUGCAUUGGAUCUCGCCUCGGGUCUCGGUGGCAAGAUUGAGAAAACCGAUGUCCUCUCUGCUGUUGAAAAGUAUGAGAAGUAUCAUGUCUUUUAUGGAGGUGAGGAGGAAGAAAGAAAAGCCAACUACACUGACAUGGUUAACAAGUACUAUGAUCUGGUUACC